GUGACCACGUUUCUGCGCUCCCUUGACGCCGAAUUGUGCUUCCCAGGCGAGGUAGCUCCAAGCGGACGUGGAACCAGAUUCUCACUCGUCUGAUGUAAUAUAUUCCUUCACAAUGGAAAUACAACCCUAAACCUAUGGAGACCCCUCAUGCUCAUCACACCUUGAUUCAAUGUCAAAGACUGGUGGUAUCAUGAGGACGGCGUCCUAACCCCUCUUUAAUAAUUAGGCUUUAGUUUUAUGCAAAGGUAAAUAGCCUGUACGGCUGUACCUCGACUGUCUUCUUAAUUUCCAUUUUAAUUCAGUUGUACCCAUCUGUUAGAUAUAUCACAUUGCGUUUCGCAUGUAAAUACAAGUUCUAAACGUUCGCCAUGUGAUAGACAUGACCAGCGAACAAAUUAUGUACUUGAUUAGUUUGGAUCAAGUGAGAGAUUACACUUAUUUUCAUUUUAUGUUGGAGAACUCGGUACUGAUGCAAAGACAUUCAAGGUUCUUUGUGUCUGUUUUGCUUGCUCAACCUACAAUUUAUUUCUAUGACGGGGUGUAAAAUUACCGUCUUGCCACAGAAGGUUCUUGAGGAUGUUACCUUGGACGGUUGGACUACAUUUUCAAGUCUACACUGCUCUGACCUGAUUACAUACUUAUCUACAUCGCUGCGGCGCAACAAAAGAUGGGCUUCAAGAUAUUAUUGUUUAAUUGCUUGAUAUAGAUCGCUAUGGCAUAUUUACUUCCAAUUGGAAGUACUGCUAAUUUUGAACGCUACAUACAUCAAACAUAGUUUUAUUUGUUGUGUAAUUAUCGUGUUUUCUUAAGUGCAGGGUCCAUCCCAUUCCAUUAUACCAUCAUUGUAGUUACUAUAAUACAAAUCAUUAGAUGUGCUUUCUAUUGAUGAAAUUACAAGCUUUAUUUUCUUGUGUCUUGGAUGGAGGUAAACUUACUGACCACAUGAAAUCAGCAUAUAGUUAUUUUUGUGUAGAAGAGAGACAUUGCAGGGAUGAGAUCUUUCUUUUGGUUUUCUUUCAACUGUUUUCUCAUUGCAAAAGUAGAGAAAGGAACUCUAUUCUUUGCAGGUCCAGCUUAGUAGUGUGCUGCAAGGGAAACUGCUUGAGCGAGAUGAAGCUUUUAGGUUAUUUGGUUGGGAGACAAGCAGGCAACAUUGAAGAUGUUAGAAUAUGGGAUGUAGCCUUUCCGCGUGUUCAAAUCUUCUGCUCUGAAGAAGAUAUUUAGGUGGACCUGAUGAUUUCUCAUCGA